rnacentral:pre_miRNA from 1 species
AAUAAGAUCAUUUUUUAGUUUUUUGAUACAAUAUUUUGACUCUUUAUCUUAUUUGAAAUUUUUUUACGAUUAAGAUUUUUAUAAAACAUGAAUAAUACUUUAUGCGUGACUAAUUUUUUAAGUUUUUUAUAAAUUUUUCAAAUAAGAUGAAUGGUCAAACGUUGGACACGAAAAAACA